UUAAUGGGCGUCGAGCGGCGGACGGGUGAGUAAUGCCUAGGAAAUUGCCUUGAUGUGGGGGAUAACCAUUGGAAACGAUGGCUAAUACCGCAUAAUGCCUACGGGCCAAAGAGGGGGAUCUUCGGACCUCUCGCGUCAAGAUAUGCCUAGGUGGGAUUAGCUAGUUGGUGAGGUAAUGGCUCACCAAGGCGACGAUCCCUAGCUGGUCUGAGAGGAUGAUCAGCCACACUGGAACUGAGACACGGUCCAGACUCCUACGGGAGGCAGCAGUGGGGAAUAUUGCACAAUGGGCGAAAGCCUGAUGCAGCCAUGCCGCGUGUAUGAAGAAGGCCUUCGGGUUGUAAAGUACUUUCAGUUGUGAGGAAGGGUGUG
rnacentral:rRNA from 1 species